AUGGCCACAUCACUGGUUCCCAUAAAAUCACCAAAGUUAAGCAGCAUUAAGCCUGGUCAGUACCUAGAUGGGUGACCACUUGGUAAUACCAGAUGGUGUA